rnacentral:rRNA from 1 species
GACGAACGCUGGCGGCGUGCUUAACACAUGCAAGUCGAACGGAAAGGCCCUGCUUUUGUGGGGUGCUCGAGUGGCGAACGGGUGAGUAACACGUGAGUAACCUGCCCUUGACUUUGGGAUAACUUCAGGAAACUGGGGCUAAUACCGGAUAGGAGCUCCUGCUGCAUGGUGGGGGUUGGAAAGUUUCGGCGGUUGGGGAUGGACUCGCGGCUUAUCAGCUUGUUGGUGGGGUAGUGGCUUACCAAGGCUUUGACGGGUAGCCGGCCUGAGAGGGUGACCGGCCACAUUGGGACUGAGAUACGGCCCAGACUCCUACGGGAGGCAGCAGUGGGGAAUAUUGCACAAUGGGCGGAAGCCUGAUGCAGCAACGCCGCGUGCGGGAUGACGGCCUUCGGGUUGUAAACCGCUUUCGCCUGUGUCGAAGCGUGAGUGACGGUAAUGGGUAAAGAAGCACCGGCUAACUACGU